GAUGAACGCUGGCGGCGUGCUUAACACAUGCAAGUCGAACGAUGAAGCCGAGCUUGCUUGGUGGAUUAGUGGCGAACGGGUGAGUAACACGUGAGCAACCUGCCCUGGACUCUGGGAUAAGCGCUGGAAACGGUGUCUAAUACUGGAUAUGAGCUUUCACCGCAUGGUGGGGGUUGGAAAGAUUUUUCGGUCUGGGAUGGGCUCGCGGCCUAUCAGCGUGUUGGUGAGGUAAUGGCUUACCAAGGCGUCGACGGGUAGCCGGCCUGAGAGGGUGCCCGGCCACACUGGGACUGAGACACGGCCCAGACUCCUACGGGGGGCAGCAGUGGGGAAUAUUGCACAAUGGGCGGAAGCCUGAUGCGGCAACGCCGCGUGAGGGAUGACGGCCUUCGGGUUGUAAACCUCUUUUAGCAGGGAAGAAGCGUGAGUGACGGUACCUGCAGAAAAAGCGCCGGCUAACUACGUGCCAGCAGCCGCCGUAACAC
rnacentral:rRNA from 1 species